CCUACGGGAGGCAGCAGUGGGGGAUAUUGGACAAUGGGCGGAAGCCUGAUCCAGCGACGCCGCGUGAGUGAAGAAGUCUUUCGGUAUGUAAAGCUCUGUUAGCAGGGAAGAAAGAAAUGACGGUACCUGAUCACGAAGCCACGGCUAACUACGUGCCAGCAGCCGCGGUAAUACGUAGGGGGCAAGCGUUAUCCGGAAUUACUGGGUGUAAAGGGCGUGUAGACGGUAAGGUAAGUCUGGUGUGAAAGGCCGGGGCCCAACCCCGGGACUGCACUUGAAACUGUUGAACUUGAGUGCAGGAGAGGUAAGCGGAAUUCCUAGUGUAGCGGUGAAAUGCGUAGAUAUUAGGAGGAACACCAGUGGCGAAGGCGGCUUACUGGACUGUAACUGACGUUGAGGCGCGAAAGCGUGGGGAGCAAACAGGAUUAGAUACCCUUGUAGUC
rnacentral:rRNA from 1 species